AACAGGAUUAGAUACCCUGGUAGUCCAUGCCGUAAACGUUGGGCACUAGGUGUGGGGGACAUUCCACGUUUUCCGCGCCGUAGCUAACGCAUUAAGUGCCCCGCCUGGGGAGUACGGCCGCAAGGCUAAAACUCAAAGGAAUUGACGGGGGCCCGCACAAGCGGCGGAGCAUGCGGAUUAAUUCGAUGCAACGCGAAGAACCUUACCAAGGCUUGACAUGGACCGGACCGCUGCAGAGAUGUAGCUUCCCUUCGGGGCUGGUUCACAGGUGGUGCAUGGUUGUCGUCAGCUCGUGUCGUGAGAUGUUGGGUUAAGUCCCGCAACGAGCGCAACCCUUGUCCUAUGUUGCCAGCACGUAAAGGUGGGGACUCAUGGGAGACUGCCGGGGUCAACUCGGAGGAAGGUGGGGAUGACGUCAAAUCAUCAUGCCCCUUAUGUCUUGGGCUUCACGCAUGCUACAAUGGCCGGUACAGUGGGUUGCGAUACUGUGAGGUGGAGCUAAUCCCUAAAAGCCGGUCUCAGUUCGGAUCGAAGUCUGCAACUCGACUUCGUGAAGUUGGAGUCGCUAGUAAUCGCAGAUCAGCAACGCUGCGGUGAAUACGUUCCCGGGCCUUGUACACACCGCCCGUCAAGUCACGAAAGUUGGUAACACCCGAAGCCCAUGGCCCAACCCUUGUGGAGGGAAUGGUCGAAGGUGGGACUAGCGAUUGGGACUAAGUCGUAACAAGGUAACC
rnacentral:rRNA from 1 species